rnacentral:rRNA from 1 species
UACGAAGGGGGCUAGCGUUGCUCGGAAUCACUGGGCGUAAAGCGCACGUAGGCGGCUUCUUAAGUCAGGGGUGAAAUCCUGGAGCUCAACUCCAGAACUGCCUUUGAUACUGAGAAGCUUGAGUCCGGGAGAGGUGAGUGGAACUGCGAGUGUAGAGGUGAAAUUCGUAGAUAUUCGCAAGAACACCAGUGGCGAAGGCGGCUCACUGGCCCGGUACUGACGCUGAGGUGCGAAAGCAUGGGGAUCAAACAGG